GGCAGGCCUAACACAUGCAAGUCGAGCGGAAACGAGUUAUCAGAACCUUCGGGGGACGAUAACGGCGUCGAGCGGCGGACGGGUGAGUAAUGCCUAGGAAAUUGCCCUGAUGUGGGGGAUAACCAUUGGAAACGAUGGCUAAUACCGCAUGAUGCCUACGGGCCAAAGAGGGGGACCUUCGGGCCUCUCGCGUCAGGAUAUGCCUAGGUGGGAUUAGCUAGUUGGUGAGGUAAGGGCUCACCAAGGCGACGAUCCCUAGCUGGUCUGAGAGGAUGAUCAGCCACACUGGAACUGAGACACGGUCCAGACUCCUACGGGAGGCAGCAGUGGGGAAUAUUGCACAAUGGGCGCAAGCCUGAUGCAGCCAUGCCGCGUGUGUGAAGAAGGCCUUCGGGUUGUAAAGCACUUUCAGUCGUGAGGAAGGUAGUGUAGUUAAUAGCUGCAUUAUUUGACGUUAGCGACAGAAGAAGCACCGGCUAACUCCGUGCCAGCAGCCGCGGUAAUACGGAGGGUGCGAGCGUUAAUCGGAAUUACUGGGCGUAAAGCGCAUGCAGGUGGUUUGUUAAGUCAGAUGUGAAAGCCCGGGGCUCAACCUCGGAAUAGCAUUUGAAACUGGCAGACUAGAGUACUGUAGAGGGGGGUAGAAUUUCAGGUGUAGCGGUGAAAUGCGUAGAGAUCUGAAGGAAUACCGGUGGCGAAGGCGGCCCCCUGGACAGAUACUGACACUCAGAUGCGAAAGCGUGGGGAGCAAACAGGAUUAGAUACCCUGGUAGUCCACGCCGUAAACGAUGUCUACUUGGAGGUUGUGGCCUUGAGCCGUGGCUUUCGGAGCUAACGCGUUAAGUAGACCGCCUGGGGAGUACGGUCGCAAGAUUAAAACUCAAAUGAAUUGACGGGGGCCCGCACAAGCGGUGGAGCAUGUGGUUUAAUUCGAUGCAACGCGAAGAACCUUACCUACUCUUGACAUCCAGAGAACUUUCCAGAGAUGGAUUGGUGCCUUCGGGAACUCUGAGACAGGUGCUGCAUGGCUGUCGUCAGCUCGUGUUGUGAAAUGUUGGGUUAAGUCCCGCAACGAGCGCAACCCUUAUCCUUGUUUGCCAGCGAGUAAUGUCGGGAACUCCAGGGAGACUGCCGGUGAUAAACCGGAGGAAGGUGGGGACGACGUCAAGUCAUCAUGGCCCUUACGAGUAGGGCUACACACGUGCUACAAUGGCGCAUACAGAGGGCGGCCAACUUGCGAAAGUGAGCGAAUCCCAAAAAGUGCGUCGUAGUCCGGAUUGGAGUCUGCAACUCGACUCCAUGAAGUCGGAAUCGCUAGUAAUCGUGGAUCAGAAUGCCACGGUGAAUACGUUCCCG
rnacentral:rRNA from 1 species